CCUGGAGCCCUUUGGAAAGCUAAGAAUACGGGGAGUCUCUGUUCCCUUUCUCUUCCAAAUUCUUGCUUCUGCUGCAGCACAGUCUGACCGAGCAGUUUCGAGGCUCUGCCGCCAGCGGCUUGUUGGUGCUGUGGAAGCCCCCAGGUAGCUGAGAAGUUGAUGGAAUUUUCUUACGGUCCAACUUUCACUAUUGCUUGUGUUAGAGUGUGAGGUAAAGGUGUACGUUGGGAUGGAGGUGAGGGCAGGCGGUGCGUUUUGUUCAGCGUGUAUGCCAAGUCUAGAUCGGAACUUGCCAUGAUUAUGCUGCAUGAAGUCAGAGCUAAAGAAGCCUGUGCCCCUGUGAGAAAGAGCUGUGGCUGCAUCUCAAUACACAUAAAGGAAAAUGCGGCAGACCAGUUCAUUUCCUGGCCCCCCUGCCCCCCGUUCCUCCUCUGGCCGUGGAACACCUGACAGUUAACAGCUCCAGCGAGGCCCACAAAAAGCAUCAAAAGCAGCUGAACGGCAGCAAAAAUAAUCAAAGUCACCCACCCUGGUUCCUCAGUAGAAGCAUAAUGUGAUCUCACUGGGGGCCACUCUCCCCCAGAAAGUGGGGCUUUUCUCUCCAAAGAGCUUGGCAUCUGCUCCUCGGGGCCGCUCGAACUGGCCUCGUUCCACGGUCCGAUGUGCCAGCGACCUGUGCCCACACUCUUCUGAAGCUGGCUGGGGGCCCUGGCACAGCCCUGCCACACGGCCCGCCAACUCGAAAGGCCCUUUCUUUGGAACAAAUAUCAUCGUACGCGUUGCCAUCAAAAAAUGAAAGCCUUCACAGUGGCACGGCAUCCAGCUUCCGUCUGGGGCCUUUCGGAACAAUUUCGUGACCAGAGAAUGGCAGGAGACAAAAGGUUUUUCUAUCUGAUCUGCUCCCCAGGCUGGCGUCGGGAUGUGGGGGGCCUGUUUUCCUUUUGCCCUAGUACCACACGGGUUGUUAUCACCGUGUUGUCUCUCUCUUUGAGCAGGACAAGGCAGGCAGGCAGGCAGAGGGAUAUAUUUCAACUGCCCUUGACUCUGUUUAUAAUCACAAACAUGAAAGGAAGGGAAAGAGAUUGGGUUUAUAGGGCUGGUUCUUUGUGUAGUCUAAUUUAUCUCUCCCAGGCAGCAGUGGGCUGAGCGGGUUUCCUUUUUGUUUCCGAUGGGGGAAGCUGAAAUAUGAAUCUAUGUUGAUGACAGAAUAAAGGAAUUGAAAGAGGCAUAAAUCUUAUCUUUUUCGCAACCCUGAAAGAUCAGCUUCUUGUGAAGAAGGGGAUUAUACUUCUGUAAUUAACUGCUUUGCAGCUCCUGGUGGUGGCUCCGAGCUGAAUAAUAGCACCCAGCAAAGUUGAAAGAAAGGCAGGCGGGCGGGAGCAGCGGCUGAUUGUGGACCACGGUCCCAGGGCCCAGCUCUCAGAGAGUCGUGCCAGGAGACAUUUGUCCCCGUCCAUCAACAUUCACGGCA